UAUAUUUUGGAAUGUGUACAGCUGAUUUUCAGACCAGUAACUGACGUAUAAGUAACUGGCGUAUAAGAAAUUGACGUAUAAGUAAUUGGCAUAUGAGUAACCACUUUUGAGACAGUAUUUAUGACUCUACAUUUAUUCUACUGAUAUCGAAGACUCCUGCUACUAUCGAAGAGUCUACAUCCACUUCCGUUAGUCUGGAGACUGCCUGCCUACCUGUUCACUAGGUCACAAAAUAA